rfam:Asian citrus Psyllid, Diaphorina citri - Florida Strain, whole genome shotgun sequence.
GAACCCAAACGGUGGAUCACUUGGCUCGUAUUUCGACGAAGAACGCAGCAAACUGGGCGUCAUUGUGUAAUAUAGACUUGUCGAACGCACAUUGCUGGCCCGAAACCCUGGCGUUUUAUUUGUAUCC